rnacentral:rRNA from 1 species
GAAGCCGGGCACUCUGGCGGGACUGCCAUCGACAAGAUGGAGGAAGGUGGGGAGUGACGUCAAGUCAUCAUGGCCCUUAUGUCCAGGGCGACACACGUGCUACAAUGGCCGGGCACAGCGGGAAGCGAGGCAGUGAUGCCGAGCGGAUCCCUUAAAGCCGGUCUCAGUUCGGAUUGAAGUCUGCAACUCGACUUCAUGAAGCUGGAAUCGCUAGUAAUCGCAGAUCAGCCAAGCUGCGGUGAAUACGUUCCCGGGCCUU